CCCAUGGUCUUUCCUCUUGUCAGUGAGGCUCAUCCAGUAUGCAGGACAGGUGAUGCUGUCAGGGUCUCUCACUAUUGAGUGGUCUAGAAUGAGUUAUUUCCUACGGGACAGGGUCUUGCUAUGCAGCGCAAGCUGGCUUUGAACCAGGGGCCAGGAGAGAAACGUUCCAGAGACAGAGCUGACACGGAGAGGGGAAGGAAAAGGAAGAGGGGAGGAAAGGCGAACAAAGGGAAGAAAGAAAAGAC